rnacentral:rRNA from 1 species
UACAGAGGUCUCAAGCGUUGUUCGGAUUUAUUGGGCGUAAAGAGCUCGUAGGCGGCUUGUCGCGUCGUUCGUGAAAACUUGGGGCUCAACCCCAAGCUUGCGGUCGAUACGGGCAGGCUAGAGUUCGGUAGGGGAGACUGGAAUUCCUGGUGUAGCGGUGAAAUGCGCAGAUAUCAGGAGGAACACCGGUGGCGAAGGCGGGUCUCUGGGCCGAUACUGACGCUGAGGAGCGAAAGCGUGGGGAGCGAACAGG